rnacentral:rRNA from 1 species
AGCGAACGUUAGCGGCGGGCCUAACACAUGCAAGUCGAACGCGAAAGGGAUUCGUCCCCAGUAGCGUGGCGUCCGGGUGAGUAACACGUAGGAAAUCUUCCCUCGAGCGGGGGAUAACGUCCCGAAGGGACGCUAAUACCGCAUAAGCCCACGUCCACCUCGGUGGAUGAGGGAAAAGCUUGGCCACUGUAUACAUGCUAGCACUUGAGGAUGAUCCUGCGGCGCAUCAGCUAGUUGGUGAGGUAAUGGCUCACCAAGGCUUAGACGCGUAGCUGGUCUGAGAGGAUGAUCAGCCACACUGGCACUG